AGUGAACGCUGGCGGCAGGCCUAACACAUGCAAGUCGAACGGCAGCACAGAGGAGCUUGCUCCUUGGGUGGCGAGUGGCGGACGGGUGAGGAAUGCGUCGGAAUCUGCCUUUUUGUGGGGGAUAACGUAGGGAAACUUACGCUAAUACCGCAUACGACCUACGGGUGAAAGUGGGGGACCUUCGGGCCUCACGCAGAAAGAUGAGCCGACGCCGGAUUAGCGAGUUGGCGGGGUAAAGGCCCACCAAGGCGACGAUCCGUAGGUGGUCUGAGAGGAUGAUCAGCCACACUGGGACUGAGACACGGCCCAGACUCCUACGGGAGGCAGCAGUGGGGAAUAUUGGACAAUGGGCGCAAGCCUGAUUCAGCCAUGCCGCGUGUGUGAAGAAGGCCUUCGGGUUGUAAAGCACUUUUGUCCGGAAAGAAAUCCUUUCGAUUAAUACUCGGGAGGGAUGACGGUACCGGAAGAAUAAGCACCGGCUAACUUCGUGCCAGCCGCCGCAGUAAAAC
rnacentral:rRNA from 1 species